rnacentral:rRNA from 1 species
UCGAACGAGAAUUGCAGCUUGCUAAAUUCCAGUGGCGCACGGGUGAGUAACACGUGAGUACCUGCCCCCAGAGUGGGAUAGCCCCGGGAAACUGGGAUUAAUACCGCAUAAACGCAAGACAAUGCGCUUGGGGAUGGGCUCGCGUCCUAUUAGUUAGAUGGUGAGGUAACGGCCCACCAUGGCGACGAUCGGUAGCCGGACUGAGAGGUUGAACGGCCACAUUGGGACUGAGACACGGCCCAGACUCCUACGGGAGGCAGCAGUGGGGAAUAUUGCACAAUGGGGGAAACCCUGAUGCAGCGACGCCGCGUGGAGGAAGAAGGUCUUCGGAUUGUAAACUCCUGUCCCAGGGGACGAUAAUACGGUACCCUGGGAGGAAGCACCGGCUAACUACGUGCCAGCAGCCGCGGUAAAACGUAGGGUGCAAGCGUUGUCCGGAAUUACUGGGUGUAAAGGGAGCGCAGGCGGAUUGGCAAGUUGGGAGUGAAAUCUAUGGGCUCAACCCAUAAAUUGCUUUCAAAACUGUCAGUCUUGAGUGGUGUAGAGGUAGGCGGAAUUCCCGGUGUAGCGGUGGAAUGCGUAGAUAUCGGGAGGAACACCAGUGGCGAAGGCGGCCUACUGGGCACUAACUGACGCUGAGGCUCGAAAGCAUGGGUAGCAAA